AUGCCUUGUAAAAUUGAGGAGAUCAAGGACUUUCUGCUGACAGCCCGGCGGAAGGAUGCCAAGUCUGUCAAGAUCAAGAAAAACAAGGAUAAUGUGAAGUUCAAGGUUCGCUGCAGCAGGUACCUUUACACCCUGGUUAUCACAGACAAGGAAAAGGCAGAGAAGUUGAAGCAGUCCCUACCCCCGGGUUUGGCAGUGAAGGAUCUGAAAUGA
rnacentral:lncRNA from 1 species